rnacentral:lncRNA from 1 species
CUUGAUCGCCCUAUAACUACCCACUUUCUUUGUAAUGGCCAUUUUGUCAUGAAACUGCCCUUUUAACUGCUGCCAUUAUCCUGCAUCGUUCAACCGCUUUCGAUUGAAUCCCUUGAGUCGUGGAACGUGAUAAAGUUACCUUAGCAACUGCCUCAAUAACUGCAUCAUAAUGCGUUAUGCUUGUUGAUACCUUGGGCGACUUGAAGAUUUGGG